rnacentral:misc_RNA from 1 species
CUUGAUUUAGAGGAAGUAAAAGUCGUAACAAGGUAACCGUAGGUGAACCUGCGGUUGGAUCAUUUAAUAAAUAUUUUUUAAAAAGAAGUCUGGAAGAUUUGUUUCUUCUGGAUUUCUUUUUAAACAAAAAUUUUGUGAACUGUUUAUUGUAUCUUGGUGGGUUUUUCUCCCUUUUUAUUGUGAGAAUUAAGUUCUUUUUUAGAACAUCCACCAGUUUAAAUUUUUAUACAUUUUUUUUUUUUUAAAACAAGUCUUGAAUUUUAAAUUUUCAAAUUUAAAAACAACUUUUGACAAUGGAUCUCUAGGCUCUC